GAUGAACGCUGGCGGCGUGCCUAAUACAUGCAAGUCGAGCGAACGGACGAGAAGCUUGCUUCUCUGAUGUUAGCGGCGGACGGGUGAGUAACACGUGGAUAACCUACCUAUAAGACUGGGAUAACUUCGGGAAACCGGAGCUAAUACCGGAUGAUAUUUUGAACCGCAUGGUUCAAAAGUGAAAGACGGUCUUGCUGUCACUUAUAGAUGGAUCCGCGCUGCAUUAGCUAGUUGGUAAGGUAACGGCUUACCAAGGCAACGAUGCAUAGCCGACCUGAGAGGUUGAUCGCCCCCAGUGGACCGGAAACCCGUCCCCGCCCCUACGGGGAGGCACAAGAGGGAAACCUUCGGCAAGGGGGAAAGCCCUGACGGAGCACCGCCGGGGGAGUGAUGUAGGUGUUCGGUCCGUAAAACUUUUUUAUUGGGGAAAAACAUUUGGGAAAUUAAGUGUGCACAUUUGACGGUCCCCUAAUAAAAAAGCCCCGGCAACCUCCGGC
rnacentral:rRNA from 1 species